rnacentral:misc_RNA from 1 species
UCCUAGUUAACCUAGGCAGUCUUGCCAGAGUCCCCACCAUUACAUGUUGGCAACUGACAAUAAGGGUUGCGCUCGUUGCGGGACUUAACCCAACACCUCACGGCACGAGCUGACGACAGCCAUGCAGCACCUAUAUAGAGCCCCUUUCGGGACGCAACAUUUCUGCUGUUUUUCUCUACACUUCGAGCCUGGGUAAGGUUCUUCGCGUUGCAUCGAAUUAAACCACAUGCUCCACUGCUUGUGCGGGCCCCCGUCAAUUCUUUUGAGUUUCACCCUUGCGAGCGUACUCCCCAGGCGGCAUACUUAACGCGUUAGCUCCGAUACAGAAAGGGUUGAGCCUUCCUACAUCCAGUAUGCAUCGUUUACGGCUAGGACUAC